UACGUAGGGGGCAAGCGUUGUCCGGAUUUAUUGGGCGUAAAGCGCGUGUAGGUGGCCAUGGAGGUCCGCUGUGAAAACUUGAGGCUCAACCUCAAGCUGUCGGUGGAAACCACAUGGCUAGAGUCCGGAAGAGGAGAGUGGAAUUCCUGGUGUAGCGGUGAAAUGACGCAGAUAUCAGGAAGAACACCAAUGGCGAAGGCAGCUCUCUGGGACGGUACUGAC
rnacentral:rRNA from 1 species